UUUUCAAUUAUUCUUUCCUCUUUCGCCUUUGCAUAUUCACUUCAAUUUCUCUUUCUCUGCGCUUCAGUUUCUCUGUAUGUCCCUUGUUUAUUUUGCUUUUCCCAUUUGUCUUUGUUUGUUCUGUUAUGGGUGUAUGUCGACUUGGACUGUGUAUUGAUUUGCUUAAUUGUACUUUUUGAAUUCAUAAUUGGUUGUAUGCAAUGUUGACCUUCACUGAAGUUGCAUGUAUAUAUUUUGGUGAUAAUGCUCAGAGAAAGAUCAAAUACAUGUCUAGAUUCAUUUGUUUGAUCAUACAGAGGGAGACAGCAUUGUCUCUGACUACACCAUCAUGAACAUGAUUUCGCGAGGCUUGCUACUCUAUAUUGUGAGUUUUGAUCUUUUUGUUAUGCUAUAUGUGCUGCUAUGCCAAUCUACUGUAUUAGUCUAUGAAACUUUAUUCUGAAUCCACUCAAAAUAAGAGAUUGUGGAGAUUUGCCUGAGUGUUUUACUUUUGUUUCCUAUGCUCUAUAUAUGUUUGACACUUUGUUCUAUAGAAGGAAAACAAAUUAUGGACAUCAUUGAUGGAUAGUACAAGUAAUGGAAAUGAGUCAUGACUAAGUUCAUUCAAAGAUUUCCUUAAUCACAAUAAAUCAAUUUUCUCAAAUGCAUUAUAUUUGGUAGCAUAUGGACUAUAUAUUCUAAGAGUAAAACAUAGUUGCGCCAAAGCAGUAGGAUAUGAGUAGUAUAAUGGCAUCAACAUAUGUCACAGAGCUUCAAUAUCGAGCAUUUAUUAUUUUUUUGUAUUUGUAUUGAUGGUAUUCUCCAAAGUUCUUCAAAUCAAAAAAUACAUUUUGAGAGCACUGGUUUUUAUGUUUCUUGUUGUAACAAGUCUACUAAUGUUUCUUCAUAUGUUUCGUUAGUUUAGAAAUUGCAUUCUCAAUCUUCUUACCAUCUAUGAUGUAGUAAGUGGAUUUUCAGUGUUGAUUUAGAUGGGUAGUGUUUAUUCCACUUGUAAAAUGCAUUUAUGUAAAUCUCUGCAGUUUCAAGUAUUAGCACCUUAAUAUUUGUUCCUUUAGCAUCUUUCAAAUGUCUCUCGGGACAACUGGGAAUUAGAGAAUCUUGCAUUACUUCGAGAUAAUACUUGACGGCAAUGGUAAGUCUUGGUGAGGAAUGAAGUAUAAAGCCAUUGAUCCGCACGUAUAACAUGUCAGUCAAUUUAUAGAGUAAAUGUGAACUACAAUUGAGUUCUUACCAAGUCUUCUCUCUUUGUAUUUGUAGGAGGAUUAUUUGAAAGGAGCUGAAUAACAUUUUUUCAUAGCCAUUUAUUGCUGCAGCAAAUGAUCGAGCCAAAAAGCAAAUAAAAGCUCUAGAUAAUAUUCUUCCUUUUUAUAUUUCAGGCCACUGGGAGAUAUAAAUUUUGCAUGUGGUUUUGCUUUUGUACGACUGGAAAUUACUUUAACUUUUGUGUCAUUUCAAGGUAAAGUAGUCUUCGAACAAUGAUAGCUCAGUAAAGUAGCAUAUUGUUUUAUCAUAACAAUGUCAAAUUUGAAAUAUGACAGAAUGCUAUAGUUGAGCCAUUUUAUUAAUCCUAAACUUGACCAAUAUAGUAGGACUCUCACAUUUUAUUGGUCGACAUUCUGUCCAAGAGUUGGAAAAUUUAACCGAUACAAUCUGAAGUCAUGAAGGAAGGAAUCAUGAGAAUACCAAUUUGAGCAGCUUUUAUGUGCCUAUCUUCGGUGAUUCUCAGGUAGAGAUAACCUUCACGGUAUGUCAUACUAUCCUUUUUUCAUAUUUGCUAAUUGUUGAUUUUCUUCAUCUCAAAAUACAAGUUUUUGUUGCCUGAACUAGAAAAGCUUUUUCUUCAUCAAGCGCUACAAUUUUCUCUGGCGCUAUUUUAAGUUUGUCAAAUCGUGGAAAGCUUGGUAAUUUCCUUUCCGAGUUUUGAAGCAAGAGUAACUGUCACUGCUUAUUAUUUUAUAUAUGUCUUGCGGACUUUUACCGUAAGCUCUUUUGAUGUCUUCUCUACAUAUUGUGCACUAGAGGUUGGCUGAUCUUAUUUUUCAUAUGGUUCACUUAAAAGACUAGAUCUCCAUAUUUCCAUCUAAAUAAAAGCCGAGCUGUCACAAUUUUGUGAUGGUGCACUACAAGUUCUCUCACCUUGCUAAUGCUGCAAAACAGAUGGGAAAUACAAGAACUGUAGAGAUUUUAGGAGAAAGCUCUUCAAGUGGGAAGAUUUGUAAAUUGCUACUAUUAUUUUCAACUUAUACUGUCUGCCAUAAUAUAAAGACUUUGAGGUAUUGCGAUAUGCUUUAGUCUUCGUUUUUUCGAUUGAAGGUGCGACCGAAGGAGUCUUACCUUCCAGAAUGCUUAUGCUAUGUUACAUUAGUUUUACUGUAUGAAGAUAACAGAAGACUACCUUCUGUUACUCUUUUCAUUCUGUUUUUCACUUUCCAGCGGACCCCCAGGCAAUGCUUUUGGUCAUCCUCUCAAACAAGGAAUAUAUACAUAAAUUUAUGAUCUUCUGCAACCGUCUUUAAUUUCAUGGUAUGAAGUGGUCGUGCUUGAGUUAAUGCAAUGUUCAGCUUGCUAUUUUUUUAAUUACUCUAGAAAUUUAAUUGUUCUAGUAGGAAAUUUAUAGUUUUUAGUUACAGCUGGAAGAUGAAGAAGCUGAGAGAUAUAGGACUUUCUUCAACUAGAAAUAUUAUUUCUACACUUACCUUGAAGCGUUUGCAUGUUAUAUAACUUGGGAAUUGGGCAAAGAGAUGGUUCCACAAAAUAUUGAGAACUCUAAAACUAACUGCUCUGUCCUGGUUGUGAACAAGUAGGCGAAAGGUAUUGCUUGGCUGCUAUAGUGUUUCAUGCGCGAGAGGUUGUGAACAAGUAGGCAAAAGGUAUUGCUUGGCUGCUUUAGUGUUUCAUACGUGAGAGGUUGUGAACAAGUAGGCGAAAGGCAUUGUUCUGGCUGCUUUAGUGGUUCAUAAUCAAGAGGCAAUGUCACAACUCUGUUGAAUUGAAAAGAUUGCUUUUAGCCUAUGUUCUUGUUCUUAUUGUCUCCUCCUGCGUUUACUUCUUGGCAUUGCUUAAGUUUUGUAAUUGCAGGUUCUAAUAUUUUUGUUGACUGCAACAAAAGAAGGCUUGGAAUGAUGGACUUUCAAAAGGAAUGCAUUUUUUUUGGCCACUUUGUAAAUAUGUGGGAAGCAGCCUAAGAAUGUACAUAUGUUGCAACAUAGUAUUUCUUAAUCUUUUGGAUAUGUUGUAAAAUUUUGUUCCUCAAUAGGUGAAUAUAUAAUGGAGCAUUAACAUGUUGUAGACAUUUAAUCUUGAUAAAUUAUAGUAACAAGUAUAAGUUACUUCUU